rnacentral:tRNA from 4 species
GGACAUUUAGCUCAGCUGGUAGAGCAUCCGCUUGACGUGCGGAAGGUCAUGGGUUCGAGCCCCUUAGUGUCCACCA